rnacentral:lncRNA from 1 species
GCCAUGGUAUUUUGACCCCCCUGCGGUAUAUUGAAACCCCUACUAUAGGCCUUUAAUUUCAGAAAUUCUGGCAAUUCGAACUCUUUUAUGUAGUUAGAAUACACAAAUAAGUAGUUUGUAUGUAUUUAACUUGCUGGAAAAGAUAUUUUGAAAAUUUUACUUUGCCAUGGUAUUUUGACCCCCUGCGAUAUAUUGAACCCCUUACUCUAGACAAUUCAAAAAAUUCUGGCAAUUUUAACUCUUAUAUGUAGUUAAUAUACACCAACAAGUAGUUUGUAUGUAUUAAACUUGAUGGAAAAGAUAUUUUGAAAAUUUUACUUUGCCAUGGUAUUUUGACCCCCCUGCGGUAUAUUGAACCCCUUACUCUAGACCUUUAAAUUAAAAAAAUUCUGCUUAUAUUCUAACUUUUUUAUGUAGUUAGAAUACACAAAUAAGCAGUUUGUAUGUAUUAAACUUGCUGGAAAAGUUAUUUUGAAAAUUUUACUUUGCCAUGGUAUUUUGACCCCCCUGCAGUAUAUUGAACCCCCUACUCUAGGCCUUUAAUUUCAGAAAUUCUGGCAAUUCUAACUCUUUUAUGUAGUUAGAAUACACCAAUAAGUAGUUU